GAUGAACGCUGGCGGCGUGCCUAAUACAUGCAAGUCGAGCGAACGGACGAGAAGCUUGCUUCUCUGAUGUUAGCGGCGGACGGGUGAGUAACACGUGGAUAACCUACCUAUAAGACUGGGAUAACUUCGGGAAACCGGAGCUAAUACCGGAUAAUAUUUUGAACCGCAUGGUUCAAAAGUGAAAGACGGUCUUGCUGUCACUUAUAGAUGGAUCCGCGCUGCAUUAGCUAGUUGGUAAGGUAACGGCUUACCAAGGCAACGAUGCAUAGCCGACCUGAGAGGGUGAUCGGCCACACUGGAACUGAGACACGGUCCAGACUCCUACGGGAGGCAGCAGUAGGGAAUCUUCCGCAAUGGGCGAAAGCCUGACGGAGCAACGCCGCGUGAGUGAUGAAGGUCUUCGGAUCGUAAAACUCUGUUAUUAGGGAAGAACAUAUGUGUAGGUAACUGUGCACAUCUUGACGGUACCUAAUCAGAAAGCCACGGCUAACUACGUGCCAGCAGCCGCGGUAAUACGUAGGUGGCAAGCGUUAUCCGGAAUUAUUGGGCGUAAAGCGCGCGUAGGCGGUUUUUUAAGUCUGAUGUGAAAGCCCACGGCUCGACCGUGGAGGGUCAUUGGAAACUGGAAAACUUGAGUGCAGAAGAGGAAAGUGGAAUUCCAUGUGUAGCGGUGAAAUGCUCAGAGAUAUGGAGGAACACCAGUGGCGAAGGCGACUUUCUGGUCUGUAACUGACGCUGAUGUGCGAAAGCGUGGGGAUCAAACAGGAUUAGAUACCCUGGUAGUCCACGCCGUAAACGAUGAGUGCUAAGUGUUAGGGGGUUUCCGCCCCUUAGUGCUGCAGCUAACGCAUUAAGCACUCCGCCUGGGGAGUACGACCGCAAGGUUGAAACUCAAAGGAAUUGACGGGGACCCGCACAAGCGGUGGAGCAUGUGGUUUAAUUCGAAGCAACGCGAAGAACCUUACCAAAUCUUGACAUCCUUUGACAACUCUAGAGAUAGAGCCUUCCCCUUCGGGGGACAAAGUGACAGGUGGUGCAUGGUUGUCGUCAGCUCGUGUCGUGAGAUGUUGGGUUAAGUCCCGCAACGAGCGCAACCCUUAAGCUUAGUUGCCAUCAUUAAGUUGGGCACUCUAAGUUGACUGCCGGUGACAAACCGGAGGAAGGUGGGGAUGACGUCAAAUCAUCAUGCCCCUUAUGAUUUGGGCUACACACGUGCUACAAUGGACAAUACAAAGGGCAGCGAAACCGCGAGGUCAAGCAAAUCCCAUAAAGUUGUUCUCAGUUCGGAUUGUAGUCUGCAACUCGACUACAUGAAGCUGGAAUCGCUAGUAAUCGUAGAUCAGCAUGCUACGGUGAAUACGUUCCCGGGUCU
rnacentral:rRNA from 1 species